rnacentral:rRNA from 1 species
UAUUCUGGUGUCCUAGGCGGUAGAGGAACAACACCAAUCCAUCCCGAACUUGGUGGUUAAACUCUACUGCGGUGACGAUACUGUAGGG